AUGUGUUCUUGGAAGGAAGCGCCCAGCGACGCGCAGUGCAUCUGUCCUUGGAUGCAUCAGGCAGAUGCGACAGUGAUGCCACAGAGCUUUGCCACCCCCGUACAUACGACUGUGUUCCCCAGCAGUGUAAGUUCCUUCGACAUCCCCAUGGCGCAUAAGGCUCAAAGCAUCCUGCUCCCCAAACGCUUCCAUUUCUCCUUCCCAAUUCCCAAUCUCUUCCCCACUCUAGGCCUGUCUUCCCCCAACACUGUGCCUCCCUGUUCAACUGCCUUCCUGCGGGAGGGAACAGGAGGAGGUUCAGGGUCUGGUGCGGCUGUGCAGGACCCCGAGCUCUGUCACCUCUCUGCAGCUGGCUCAGCCCCAGGCCUGCCCCGCCAGGCUCCUCUGCUCUGCAAUCCCAGCCUGGGGGGACAGGCCGGCCUGCAGCUCAGCUGGUCCAGCAAGUCUGGGCUGUUGCUCUCCCUACCCCUCCCUGCUGCCACCUGGCUGCGCCCACUGGCUCUGGCUCUCUGUGGGGCGACUGCUCCUGUGGUGGUUCUGGAUGGCUCACGACUGCCAACCUCAAGAGACCAAAACUGAGCUGGGCUGCUGCCUGGGCUGUCGCUGCCUGCGGAUAAGACUCGUGUCUCCGGGGCUGUAGAGCCAGCACCGUUUAUCACUGACAAAUCCAAGCGAGUGCUAGUGGAAACGCACCUUCCUGUGGCUGUGACAGGGAAGAGGAGGCCAGUGAGUCGCUCCAACAACCCUCCUCUGACCUUCCGGGGCAGGGAAUGGAGCCGAGAGAAAGUUCACAGGAACUGCUGUCCAGGAAAGCGUCCUGCCCACUCCCUCAGGCUGCGUGGCCUCACCUGAUCUUUCUUCAGUCUUGUUCCUGACGCUGCACACAGGGCCUCUCGCGCAGGGCAGGGAUCUCAGAGCUGCGUGGAGUUGGGAUAGCGCCAAACUUGUGUCGUUUUUAUUUAUUUCAGUGCAUCUUCCGAGUCUCUUCUGCUCCCCAGCCACGUGCACCACCAGCUGCAUUCAUCCCUCCUCUCUCUGCCCCCACCUUCUCUGCCAGCCCUUCUCCUGCCCCUCCUUUUCCUCCCCUCAGCUCUGGCAGCCCAACCGAGCCUAUGUAUUUUUAAAACACCACUUACCCGGGGGAGGGCUGGUGCCAAGUUGUUUUCCUGCUUGUGUUGGCAUUAGACAGCAAUAAAGGCAGGAAUGUAUGGAGCGAAGAGAGCUGC
rnacentral:lncRNA from 1 species